rnacentral:rRNA from 1 species
UACGGAGGGUGCAAGCGUUGUCCGGAUUCAUUGGGUUUAAAGGGUGCGCAGGCGGGACAUUAAGUUCAGGGGUGAAAGACGGUUGCUCAACAAUCGCGAGUGCCUUUGAUACUGGUGUUCUUGGGUGACCUUGAGGUGAGGCGGAAUGGGUGGUGUAGCGGUGAAAUGCAUAGAUACCACCCAGAACUCCGAUUGCGAAGGCAGCCUACUGGAGGUUACCGACGCUCAGGCACGAAAGCGUGGGGAUCAAACAGG